GUGCCCAGGAUUUGAACAGGUGAACCCAGGCUGCUGAAGCAGAAUGUGCCAAACUCAACUACUGUGCUACAGGCCCAGCCCUCCACAGGCAUUUUUUAACAGUUUAAAUGAACAUUUAUAUACACUCCUGCUGCAUACAUUUAUCUUGGUGAAUAGUACUUAUCUGAGUGGUUGGGAAAAGGAAAAACAAAGAGAUCUCAUCAUUUUUCUUUCACAACUACAAAAGCUGCUAUGCUAGGGUGUGCUUCCUACUCUGAACACCAGAAGCUGUCCCAAGGCCCCUGAACACAUCUGACCCUUAUUAGAAACUGUCACCCAUGAAUUGUUCUGUCUGUGGCCUGCCCCAACCUCCACGCCUCUUGUCUUUCAAUUACGCCAGCAGCAAGCCACAUUGAGAAAAUUUAUGCUUAAGACACUGCAUCAUGUCUCCCAAUAAAACUGAGGAAGCAGUGAUGAAAGGCUAUAAAGCCAAUGCAGUGCAGACGGCUCCCAGAUGACCUUUCAGAGGAAGAACCUCUGCAGUGGAGAUGACCGCAGCCCCGAGAAGAGCUGAUUCAGGGUGGUCCCCUGUGUGAACAUGGACUGCCCCUUCUCCUGCAGACCCGAACUACUGCCUUGCUCUCUUCAGGUUGCUAAGAUGGUUGCUUCAAGAGAAAAAUCACCUAACAAAUCAGAACCGGCAGAUGUGCUCCCACAAUGAACCAGACACCACGUACGACCCUCAGUUUCCCAGUCUUUGCAAGUAGCUAUGAACAAGUCAUAAAAAGGGGUGGCUGCAACAGAGGAGGAAGGUCAUUCCUAACAUGCAGAUUUUCUUCAUGAAAAUAACAAUACCUUAUCUACAUUAUCUACAAUGUUUGUCUGUCAUGAAAAAUUGGCUGACCAACUUCAAACACAUAUUAGACUGGCCCAGCAAUUAACUCUUCAGCCAAAAGUGAAUUUAGACCUCCACGUUGGACUUGUAUCUGGGUAAAGCCGUUCCCAAGAAAGUGACAAACUGAAAGUUUCCAUUGAAAAGCAUCUGAGAGCCCCCAGGGGAGGAAGAGUCACCUGUUCGGGUUCACCUGAAAUAUUCCUGAACUCAGCAGAGGAUCAGAUUAAAAGCAGAGCCUCCAAGCAGAAGAGGUUUUUGGUCCCCCCCACCCCGUUUUAGGCUUUAUAACGAUCUUUUCACAACUUGGCCCAUCUGCUCAUAAAAUGAUUCUAUGUCCUACCAGGAUUAUAUUUUACCUUGCAAACUUUUACCUAACGAACAAGAACAAGAUGUACGAUUAAUUCUUCCCCUUGCAGGUAAAGUGUAGUUAUCAGUAACCACAUAUGAGAAAUCGUGACAGUGGUUUGAUAUUGUGGUGUGUGCCUAUUUCUUGAAAGUGACAGUUGGACACAAUGGAUAUAUAUCAUAAGAAACAUAAACUCUUACAACAUGAGUCAAAGAAAAAUAUGCUUAGGAAGUUCUAUCUGUCGGGGUAAAGGGUAUACACCACAUGUCUCGAGGUCAAGUGAAAAUGGUGCUGUUGUUUUGACUGAUUCCUUGUACUGAACCUUCUGUGGGAAGGUCAAACGGUGCAUCACUAAAAAAUCUAGUUCAUUCCAAAGCUAUUCCUCCAUCUGACCACACCAGACACCAAUGUAAAGGAAGCUUAACUCUUCUGAAAACAUUUUAAACCUGAUCAAAUUAAAAGCAGCACCAGAGGGAUUAUUUUUCUUAGGAAGAACCCACAAGCAAUUUACUUGACUAGAGGAAAAAAUGCAAAGAAAUCCUUUAUCACAAAAUAGCUUCUUGAAUCUUUCCACCAAUAAACCUUCUACCCAUCCAAGAAUGCCUAUCCUCCCUGCUGAUAACAAGCUGUGCAGAUAAAUAUUUUAUUUUUUUCUAUAAAACCCCAAAUGAUGUUUUCAAAUAAAAUAAAAAUAAAACUGCUACAUGCCACUGUCAAAAAUGGUCCUAGAAGAGGUAAAUGUCAUUUUGAAGGUUGUGUGUUAAAAUAUUUAGGAGAAAGAAUCUACUUGUCAAGUACCGACAGAAAGCUCUGAAGAGGUUAGAAGUGCAUCCAUCAAACUUUUAUCCACCUUGGGGCUGACCUACCAGGGAAACUGUGGAAAGCCUGGCCUUGCGUUCUGAGGGAGCUGGAGGUUUAGAGUUCUGGACAAUAACAGGGGCACAAUUAAGUACAAAGUGGGGCUUGAGAGAGACUGCAACGAUUCCCCCGUGGAGGCACACUGGCAAUGGGUGGCAGGCAGCUGCAUUCUGCUUUAAGCCACAGUUCAAGCUAAAGAACUGAACCCAUCUGCUGGACCAUCAAACUCCCUUGAGAGAAUGCUGACCUCUCACUCCAAACCUAGCAAGAACCCAUCAAACAUUAGCAAAAGAAAGGCCAAGCCAGCAAAACAUGGGAAGGACUUUUUUUUAAGUCUAAUUUAAAUAGCUUCCAUACUCUACGCUCUGGGAAUUACGUUCAGUAACUUUUUUUAACAAGGAAAAUUUGGUUUUAAGGAGCUUAUGGGAACAUUUAACUUGGACUGGAAAGGUUAUUUUCUCAGUGUUAGGCUAAAAGCCAAAAUCCACUUUUAGCCAGAGAUGAUUUUAAUAUUAUACCUCACAAGAGCAUUGUGUCAUGUGAGCAGGCGGCAGCGAUAAGCAGUGUAGUAAAGUUAUGACUUCCCCCAAAGACUCAUUAAAAUGUAUUAUUAAGUAGAAAAAAGUUCAGAAAAUCCAAAGGAACCCGUCUGUACUAUUUCAGAAACCGUAAAAACGCUUUCCAACUUAUCACUUUUUUUGCUCUGCCUCCUCUACAAAUACCACUAAGUAAAUACUGUGAAGAACUCGAUCCUGAUGCAAAACAGGAUGAAAACGCCUUAAAGUCAUGUGCCACUACCAUGCUCUGUAUGUAAUUUUCCCUUUAAAUGUGCUAUGGAAGAAAAUAUGACAAAUUCAAGAGACUGUAAAAAAUAAUAAACCUGCGA